UACGUUCCCGGGCCUUGUACACACCGCCCGUCAAGCCAUGGAAGCCGGGGGUACCUGAAGUCGGCGGCCUAACCGCGAGGAGGGAGCCGCCUAGGGUAAAACUGGUGACUGGGGCU
rnacentral:rRNA from 1 species